AUGGGGAUCGUGCUUUGUGAAGAUUUCAACUGUCAACAUCUUGCCAAUUGUAUGUGCUUGUCCAGACAAGUGAGUGCUUAUCGUCCUCCUUCGUAUAUCCGUUUUGAGCCAAGAACAAUCAGACAACAGAGAACGCGUCACAUUAGACCGCCAAUGUCGAAGAAACGGAAAACUCCAGACGACAGUGGUGGCGGCGGCGGCGAGGAUUCCGUUCAAGAAGGACAGCAACACUACAAGAAUAUGACCAGACCCCUGUACUGCAGGAUAAAGCUGAAUGUGGCAGCGCUGGACAGGUUUUUAACAGUUUUUGGCUGA
ensembl:lncRNA